UAUAAUAGUACAAUUUGGCUAGACUUUUGGUUGCAUGGUACAUGAAUUGGCUCUAUCAUAUAAAUAUUUUAUGUUUAUCCAUUCCAUAGCCUACACCUAUUUAUAUAGAGGCAUGAUGUAAGAGUUUUGUACAAAAAAAAAAUAAAAAAUAAAAAAAUUCAUCACACCCAUACAGUAGAGAGAGAGAGAGGAAAGAGUGUUUGAAAUCAAAAAAUUUCAUACCGUCAAUAGUCUUAAUUUCACCAAGGCAGACAAAGGAAAGAACGUGCAUUCAGAUUUUAUCUUUCAAUAGCCUGGUAAGAUACUUUAGGUGCAAGUACUUUUAUUUCCUUAUGCGUUUAUGUUAAAAAAAAUGCAUGGAUUGUCAGUAGAUAUUCGUUUUUUUUUAAAGAGAUAUGAAAUGCUACGGGAUUUUAAGAGAACCUAAGAUGGGUACGUCGCUUGGUCAUCGAUAUACUCCAUAAGAUCAGAUGGUAUAAAUUGUAAUUUUUAUUAUCAUAUAUAUGUAUUUGAAAACUAUACGUAUCUUAUUGGGUGUUUUCGAAUACUCACUCUUACAAAUUUUUACAAAUUAGUUCUGAUCGAUUAAAAUUGUGGAGGGCAGUGAUGCGAGCCGCCAAGUGGAUUGUAGUAACAAAGAAUAAAUUUUCCAUUAAGUUUUUCUUCUUUCAUAAUUAUUUAUUAAUUUUAAGACAUGUUUAUUGUUAUUUUCUAGAUACAAAGGCUAAGUUUAAUUUAAAUUUAUGAAUGCCGCAGUUAUUACUUAUAAAAAAAAAUUUAAUUUUGAUCUUUUCGCAUGUAAAAUAAUGAAAAAUGAAUUUUGGUAACGUUGCUGUGUUAUGAAAAUUUGGGGUGUUACACAUUUACUGAAUGCUAGGUUUUACAUUUUCCACUGCCUGCAUGGUUUUGAAAAAUCACAGAGUUUAUGACCUUAUUGUGCUUGUAACAAUAUAUUGUGACCUCAUUUUGUCAGUAGUCACAGCGCGACCGAUUUUAAUAUGUUGAUGUUUUAUCAGUGGUCAUGAUGGCUGCAUGCUUGAUUUUAAAAUUCUGCUGUGACCUGAACUUGUUAUUCAUUCGGAUCUUAGAUUUACGUUUCACAUUUUCACUGAUUGUGUAUUAUUUUGUGACCUCAAGUAUUAUUGUAUGUUCACAGGUGUCCCCUUCUAACACAACUUAUUUGAAGGGCUGAUAACUCAUCAUACUUGACUGAUAUUAACGUACAUGUACUUAUAAUAGGAUGUGCCAAGUUGAUCAACUGCCUUGUCCUUACUCCUUAUCAGUGAUAACAACUUUAAAGUUUGAUGCAUAUGAUUAUUUUUCUUAUUACUGCACGAGAUUUCUAUGUGAAUACAUACCAAUCUACUAUGUUUCCGGCAGGAAUCAAAAUGAAUAGUUAAGGCCAGUUGAGAUCAUUGAUAGGAUUUUACUAGCACCUAAUUAAAAGAGAUGUGCUAGAAGGCCUAUCAUAAAGAGGAAGAAAUCAACAACAAAAAUAAAUAAAUAAAAUAAAAUAAAAUUUUGAAAUGUAAAAGAUGUUGUGGAUAUAGUGACAAUAGGAGAACAUGCAACAACUUGGAACCUCUACGCCAAACAUAAGGACAAGAGAAUCCAAAUAAACAUAGAAUAGUCGGUAAAUAGUAAAUAAUUUGUAUUUGAUUCGAUUGGAAGAGAAUUAUUGCAUUCUUUCAUUUCUAUAGAGUUAUGGCUGAAAAAUAGUUUACAAAUUUCAUACUACUUGGAUAAAUCCCGUAAGCAUACCGGAUCAUUGAAAAGUAAUAAUUUUAGUAAGUUAGAGUAUUGUCAACAGGGUAAUAAUUCUUAAAGCAAACUGCAUUAGUUUGUAGUUAAUUUCAAAUGUAUGUAAACAAAAGAAAAGAUUUUUUUUUAAUUCCAAAUUAUUUUGCAAAUUAUCCAAAUGCUUUGUUUUAUAUGAAUUAUGGGAUAAAUGUAUUGGACUUGUGAAUCCACCUAAUGUUGUUCUUUUUCCAAUUUUCGACUUUUGUAAUUAAUGAUAUUUAUAUAUUCAUGAUAAUCGAUAAUCCAAUUUUAUCUAAUUACCUCUUUCGAGAUAAGUUAAACAUAUUCUAAACACGAUCCAAUCAUUUUCUUAUUAUGAAUUCAUAUGCAAAGUUAAAGCAUUCAAUUGUAUGAUUAUUUAUGUGAUUGCACAUCCCAUGCAUAUUAUUCCUAACAUCUAUUGCUUUUUAAUUUUUUAAUUUUUUUAUAUUGCUAUGUUCUAAACCUAUUGUUAAUUUCCCAAAACUACAAUAAGCAAUUAAUUAUCUAAUUGAUGGCCAAUAAAUCAAGUAAUGCAACAAGACAUGCAAUAUCAAUCAAUAAAACACAAAUAUACAAAACUACUAGUCUUUGAAUUAAAAUUAAUAAAUCAAAGGUUUUUUCUUCAUCCAGUACAAGCAAGAAUCUAGCCUAGCAUGAUUGCCAUGAUUUCCAUGAUAUUUAAAGAAGAAAUAUGAAAAGAUAUCACAUGGAACAUGUUUUUAUACAAGAAAUCUUGAUCUUCAAUUUCAAGCUCUAAAUCUUCAAGUUCUUGAUAUAAUUUGCCUUCAAGUUCUUCCUAUAUUUGAUCUUCUCUCAAAAAUUAUGGGGAAUUCACCUCUUGUUCUUAAUUUAUUCUUUGAUAUGAAUUGAUUAGAGAGAGAAUUAGGUUAAAAUCACGUUCAAAUUGAGUUCCAAAAAAAUUCUAAUUGAAAAAGAAAAGUACUAGUUCGUGUGCCAAAAUUUGACAUGCAAUCUUCUUGUUCACGAAUGGAAGAGGAGAAAUAGCUUCAAAUGCACCCACAUCCCUAUGUACGGUGCAAGUGCAGCAUAAAAUUUCUACCCGAAGUGCAAUUUGGUCCAUGCUUUUCAUCCGUGUGCAAAUUAAGUCCUUUCUUGGGAAUACUUUUGUCCUUCUAACCUUGUCCAAUAGCUCCUUUGCAAUCUUCAAUUAUCUUUUUAUGGUCUGAAUCAACUAUUGAAUAGUUACAAUUUGUUUUCCAAACUUUGAAAAUCAUUCGCUUUUGUUUAUUUAAGUUCAUAUUUCUUUCCAUUUCACGUCCAAUCACUAAGUUGUGCCUAGGAAAACAAUAAAAACUAACAAAAGAUUGAGCUAUAAUUCAUCAAAAGUACUACAAAAUGUCUAUAUUUAAAAACCUAGAUAAUUGUGCACUUAUCACAUACAUUGUCUAAUAUUGAAUUGAUUGGAUUGCUAGCGUAAUCGAUAUAUUAAACUUAUAUUAUUCACAUUCCUUUUCUUUUUCUUUUUUGUUGAUAAUAAUAUCCUUAUUUUGAUUAGAACCUAUCGGUUAUAAGAGGUUGUUACAUGUAUUUGACAGAAAUAUAAUAUGUUAAACUGAUACGUUUUGUAACUGCAUUCUUAUGAACAUAACCUAAAUUUUUAUGUCUGACUAUUCUUUACGAUAAAUGUAUAUUUGGACCUUUAAAUGAUAUUAAUUAUAAUAAAUCUUGAUGACAUAUGACUUAGCCCAUGUUUGUUUUGGAUUAAAAUCAAAUUUAAAUUUCAAGUCAAAGUCAAUAAUUAAUUUUAAUCACAUAUUUUAUGGGAUCUACAACUUUUCAACUAAACAUUUUAUCAACUUUUAUUAAAAUCUACAAAAAAGAAAAAAAGAAAAAGAUUUUAAUCAAUACCAAGAGGUGAUUUAAUUAGAUGUUAAUUUUCUUUGUUAUGUAAGACUCAAGACAAAUUGUUGGAAUUGGAAGAAAGAAACGAAAAGGGGUAAAAACAAAAAAUAAAAAAUAAAAAUCCAAAGUUCAGAACCAAAGUGCAAACAUUCAAUAGUUAAUUCGAAUCAUAAAACAAUAAUUAAAGAUCAUUUAUGAUCAACUGGAUACAAUUGGAAGUCAUAAGAGUAAAAUAUAAUUAAAGUGUUUUCAUAAGUCAAUUUCUAGCUGAAAAAGUUAGGCACUAGAUUUUUCGCUUUAGAUUGAGACCCAUUUUUCGGGUAGCAAACGUUCGAGUUGGAAAUUUUUUGUUUCAAAAUGAAUUGUAGAACUUUGAGUUAUCUUUCCAAUAUCCUUUGAAUCACCUCAAUUGGAUUUCAAGAGAGAAAUUUAUGAUCAAGUAUUGAAGGUUGCUCAUGGAUAAAGUGAUCAGAACGGGCGAGCAAGGGCCAUUUUCGCCGUAUGUGCUCCUAGGCCAAAUUUUCUGCUAAAGAGCUAAUUUCCUUUUUUAUUUUUGUAUUUUAUCUAAACUCUUACUGAUAACAACUUUGGGAAGAAUUCUUGACCUAAAUUCGACCAUUAUAAGUACAAACUAGGGAGAAAUAUGGAGAACUCUUUCUUACCCCUUAAUGCACAAUAAUAUCAUCGAACUCAUCAAGAAUUAGAUGCCAAUUCAUUAAUUUUGAGAUAAAAGGUCAUGCUCUAGCAAGGAAUUGAAGCCAAAUAUAUCAAGAUUUUGAAGAAUUUAACUUUGAAAUUGAAGAUCAAGAUUUUUUACAUUAUUUCAUGAUCAGGGUGAUGAUUUUCCAUUAUUAUUAUUAUUUUGGUAAUUGAUUUAAAGGAACACUAAGCUAGAUUCGUUUUUGUAUGUGACGAAGAUAAACCCUAUUGUUUUAUUUAUUUUAAUUCAAGACUAGUAAUUUAGUUUUAUUUCUUGCAAUUCUUAAUUAAUUUUCCUUGCUCAUUACAUUAUUUAAUUGUUUGAUUAUCAAUUAAAUAAUUAAUUACUUAUUGUAGUGUUGAGAGAUUCACAAUAAGUUCAUAAGCGAAAAAAUUAAUAUAUGUAUAAUAGAUGCUAGGAAUAACAUUUAUAAUGUGUGUAAUUAUAUUGAUAAUCUGAAAUUGAAUGCGUUCUAAUCAUUCAAAUUUGAACUAGGAAUAGAAUUGGAUUGUGAUUAAAAUGGAGUUAAUUUAUCUUGGAAAAGAAAGAUAAAUACAUUAGCUAUAUCGAUUGUCAAGAAUACAUCGAUAUGAUUAAAGUACAUAAUAGAGAAUUGAAAUAGAUGGCAAUAGGCCAAUGCUAAUUCGAAUUCCAAUAUAAUUAUCCAUAAUUUAAAGAAAACCAAACAUUUUCGUAUUUCUUAGAUUAAUUUAGCAUAAAUAAAAUAAAAAUUUCUUUUGUUUACAUAAUUCGAAUUUCAUACAUAACUUGUAAACUUAAAUUGAAAUUUGUUCUCUAUGGGACAAUAUUUUUCAACUCUUCUUCUAUUACUUAUCAAUGAUCCCUUAUACGGAAUCUUACCGAACAAGUUUUUUACACCAUUGUCGAAGAAUAAAGUAUUUAAUUUGAGUUUAUUAGUUUAUAUAGAGUUUGAAAUUUCUUUUACAUUGUGUUAGGUUAUUAAUUACGCAUCUAAUAUUUUUCUUUCUUUUCUUUUAUUUAUUUGUUUGUUAUUUUUUUUUUUUUUUGUAGUUUAUGCAAGAUUAUGAAGAAAUUGAGCUUCUAUCAUAGGAUCCCAAAAUCAAAAGAAGUUUUAGACGAUGGAGAAGAGAAUAGAGAGAAGCAAGAAAAAUGGCUGAAAAUCAAAAUCAAAUUCAAUUACCGCUAGAUCUACUAGAACAACGAGAUCCAUUAAGAGCAAUUGCCGAUCGUGAAGAAGCUUCUAUGAAUUAAGUCCCACCUCAGCUCCUGUGCAACAGAAUAUUAUAUAUCUACCUUUUGGACAUGCUAACUUCUACAUUCAAUUAGAUGUGAUCAACUUGUUUCGAAAUCAUUAGGGCAUCAGCUUUUCUAGAAGAUCAACUGAAAAUCCUCAGGCAUUUUUGAUGCAUUGCGAUAUGAUCAGUCACAAAGGCAUGUCUAUUGACACUUUUCGACGAUGCCCAUGUCCUCACACUUUAAAGAAAGGUGCACGAGAAUGGUAAUUUCACUAAUUCUUGGUAAUAUUGUUUCAUGGAGUGACAUGGUGCAGAAAUUCACUUUGAAAUUCAACCUGCUUUCUUGAUUCCAUCAUAUUAGAAAUAAAGUCCAUAUUUUUAAGGAAAGAGAAAUAGAGAGCUACCCAAAAGCAUAGGAAAGACUCAAAGAUUACCUUAGAAAGUAUCCCAAUCUAAAAGUUCCUAAAGACUCUGUGAUCUAUAUAUUCUAUUUAGGUCUGAGACCUGAAUUUUGGAACAUAGCUGAUACUUAACCAAGAGGGUCAGUUUUGGAUAUUCCAUUGGACAAUUCUUUAGGCCUUUUUUGAGAGAAUUGUAGAAAAUCAGUCCAUGUUGCCAAUAGAUAGGAAAGUGCCAAGGAAAACAUUGACGAUUCACAACAUAGAUGUAGUGACGGCAAUGGCAGCCCAGCUGGAAAGACUAACAAAUAGAUUGGGCAAACUUACUUAGAAUAUGAGCAUGGUGUACAAACUACCAUCAGUCUAUGGGGAUUUUUAGGUAGAUCAUACAAUUGCAAAUUGUCCAUUAGCAUCCAUGCAUGUAAUCCAAACUGAGGAGGUUAGUUAUGCAAAUAAAACAAUCCUUACUUCGAAACCUAUAAUCCAGGUUGGAGCAAGCAUCCUAAUUUCUCAUAGGUUAAUAAUAGGGUCAAGGAUGUUAGAUUCAUGGCAACCACAAGGAUUUUAGUAACAACAAGAGAAGAAGUCAUCAUUGGAGAAAUUAAUGUUUCAGUUGAUUACCAAAGUGAGACUAAUUUCUAGAACCAUCAUGUUAUUCUUUAGAACUAGCAAGCUACAAUUUAAAUUGGAAACUCGAGUGGGACAGUUAGCAGUUAUAUUAUUCAAUAGAACACAAGGUACCAUAUCAAGCGACAUAGAAAAGAACCCACACGAUUAUUAUGUAUGGGAUGAACAUGGAUGAAGCAUAUUGAUAUUGGGUUCAUUUUGAAACUUGUAAUUAAUUAGAAUUUUUUAACUCGAGGAAAAAUCGAUUUGGAUAAGCCAGCACCAAGAUAUUGCAGUUUGAAGAAAUCAUAAAAAAAACUAACUUUUCAACCAAUUUAAAUCUUGGAAUGGAAUGGCCGCAGACAAGUGUAGGAUAAGUUGGUUUUUGGCCAUUAUUUUAUCGGUUUUGAUUUUGAAAGAAUAGCUGUCACAGAUGGUUGGAUAGAGAUGGUAUCCUUUUAGAUUGAAUAAAAUAACGAGGUAGUACAAUUUGACUAGAUUUUGUUGCACGAAUUUACCUUUAUCAAAUAAAAUUUUGGUCUAUCUAUUACUCUAGUCUACACCUAUAUAUAUAUAGGCAUAAUGAAAAGUUUUACUCACACCAAAUUUUAUAACACAUACGGUGGAGAGAGAGAGAGUGUGUGUGUGAGAAAUCACAAAAUUUUCAUACAUCAACUAUCACUGUCGGUCAAUAAUCUUUCACCAGAGUAAAAAAAUUUGGAACGUGCAUUCAAAUACUUUUUUCGUGCAUAUUUCAAUAACAAGGUAAGAUACUUUAUGUGCAAAGUGUUUUCGUUUCAUUAUGCUCUUAUAUGCAAUUAAAUAUGCAUGGAUUACUAGUGGACCUUCAGGUUCUUUAAAAAGAUAGAUGGGAUCCUACGGGAUAUAAGAGGAACUAAGAUGAGCGUGUCGUUUGGUCACCGAUAUACUCCAUAAGAGUAGAGUGGUAUGACAUGUAGAUUUUAUUGUUAUAUAAUUGUGUAUAGAAACUGCCGUGUCUUACUGGGUAUUUUCGAAUACUCACUCUUACAAUUUUUACAGGUUAGUUUGGGUCGAUUGGAACGGAGUGGAAUGGUGAUGCGGGCUGCCAAGUGGAUCAAAUGAAAAUAAAAAGAAAUGAGUUUACCAUCUUUAAAUUUAUCAAUUAGUUUAAUUUUGUUCCAAAUGUGUUAUUUGAAUUAGUUAGGAGUAUAUGUUAUGUUUAGAUACAAUUUUAUGUUUUAUAUAUAGAUUUAUAAAUGUUGCAGUUAUUUGUUUAAUAAAGAAUUUUAUUUUUAUAGCUCCGCACUUAAAAUAAAGAAAAAUGAGUUUUUCGUAAUGUUCUGAAAUUUAUAGAAAAUUGGGGCGUUACAGUAGUGGUAGUGGUGGUACUAAUGAUGGAUCACUUUGUUGGAUGGCUCUGAUGAUGAUUGGAAUGACUUUGAUAAUUUUGAUUUCAGGUACAAAAAAUUAAAAACUAGCAAAGGCAGUUUGUCUAAAAAAGAAGAGAUUCAAAGACAUUUGAUGGAACCAAAUGAAAAGAUGUAGCUGAUGCAAAUUUUGAUAUUUUGAAUUGGUGGAAGAUAUAUACUCCAAGAUUGAAAACUUUGUCAAAUAUUACAAGAGAUGUGCUUGUCAUUCAUGUAUCUACAGUUGCUUCUGAGUUAGCAGUUAGUGCUGGAGGGCACAUUCUUGAUUGUUUAGGAGUUCUUUAACACCUAUAACAGUCGAAGCUUUAAUUUGUACCCAAAAUUGGUUAUGAGAAGAAACUAGACUUUUGAGAGUAACUCAAGACAGAAUUUGCAUUGGGGAGACGGAGUUCUAUGAAGAAAUUGAGUUUGGUAAUAAAAAUUUCGUAAAAUAUUUUCACGUAACAUCUAAUUAAUUGUAAAUGAUUUUAAUUUAUUUUUGUUUGUUCAAAUGUGUAUUUGAAUUAUGUUUGUAGAGUUUCUUAAAGUUACAACACAAGCAAUGGAGUAUUAAACGGUUAAUGAUUGUCUAGAUGCUAAGGGCUAAGUUUCUUGGGUCGGUCAUUUUGUCACCAUUCCUAUCUACUAUUUUUAAGUUUUAAUUUUAUAUUUCAGUUUCAUAUUUCAUUUUUCUCAUGUAGGUUUGGUGGGUUCAUGUAGAGGAAUUGAUUGGAUGGAGGAUGCAGAUGAAACUUGAUAUUAUUAACUUUUGGCAAAGAAACAUUCGUUUAUAUUUUGUUUGUUAGUUUGAACUUCUGAAAUCUUGAUGAUUGAUAAUUUGAAUUUACUAAAUGUUUG
rnacentral:lncRNA from 1 species